rnacentral:rRNA from 1 species
AUUGAACGCUGGCGGCAGGCCUAACACAUGCAAGUCGAGCGGAUGAAGGGAGCUUGCUCCUGGAUUCAGCGGCGGACGGGUGAGUAAUGCCUAGGAAUCUGCCUGGUAGUGGGGGAUAACGUCCGGAAACGGGCGCUAAUACCGCAUACGUCCUGAGGGAGAAAGUGGGGGACCUUCGGACCUCACGCUAUCAGAUGAGCCUAGGUCGGAUUAGCUAGUUGGUGGGGUAAAGGCCUACCAAGGCGACGAUCCGUAACUGGUCUGAGAGGAUGAUCAGUCACACUGGAACUGAGACACGGUCCAGACUCCUACGGGAGGCAGCAGUGGGGAAUAUUGGACAAUGGGCGAAAGCCUGAUCCAGCCAUGCCGCGUGUGUGAAGAAGGUCUUCGGAUUGUAAAGCACUUUAAGUUGGGAGGAAGGGCAGUAAGUUAAUACCUUGCUGUUUUGACGUUACCAACAGAAUAAGCACCAGCUAACUUCGUG